AUGUCGGGGUCCCACCGACCCCCAACUCACCAUGGCCUCGUUUGCUGGCUGGAGUCCACUCAGGCGGAACUGGAUGCAAGAUGCUGGGACCUGGCCUGCGACUUCCCCCUGCCUUCCGUGUUCCUGGUCUGCUGGGAUAACCAGCUCAGCUAUUUCCGUCAACGUCCAGGGCCUGGGAGCUGCUUGGUCUGUGCCCCUGGAGUCCUGAUUCCACCAUUUGUUACAUUUCCUUGUGUGGAAUCUCGGUUUUCCUGUCCCUAUUAUGGGGAAAGAAGCCAUCUCCUUCAUGGGAAAGAAGGAACGCUCACAGUCAGCUCAGCAGUCCCCGCACCCGUGUCUUUACUCUGCGGCAGGACCAUGCCAAGCUCUUCUCCAGCGGGAUCUCCAGGAACCUUCAAACAGCCUCAUAACUCGGUCACGGUGAUCAUUCCCAUUUUACAGAGGAGCAAACUGAGACACACGCCUAAGGAGCUGAGUCUGCUGCUCGGCCCCCCUGGGAGGUACCCAGGUACCCAAAAUCCAACACUGGGGGCUUCUUGGUUUGUAAUCUGGAGGGCCUGGAACUCUGCAAACUUCCUCACUCCUGGAAUCCGUCACUGGAUGUCACCACUGCCCUGGCGCUCAGGAAUGCUACUCCUUCGGACCUUAAGAAGCUGAAUCACAGGCUGGAGGGAAGAAUCCCAGGUAGGGAGGUGAGAAACGAGACUUUGGGUUCUGCCACCAACCCACCGCUCUUCCUGAGAUUCCAUGUAUUCUAAUUUUUUAUCUAUUUUUGGUUUCUUUCUGGCCACACCUCAGUGCUCACAGGAUCUUAGUUCCCUGGCCAGUGGUUGAACCCAGGCCCACGGUGUGAAAGCACUGAGUCCUAACCAUUGGACCUCCAGGGAAUCCCUAGUUUGUUCCAUUUUCUUGCAGUUCUAAACCACACCUGUGCCCUGCCAUGGUCCUGGACCUGGUGGGACUCUUAGCAAGGAAAAUCCCGGAUGUGAAAGAUAUCAGUUUCCAGUUGUCUAUUGCUGGUGACUAGCCAUCCCAAAACACCGUGGUGUAAAGCAACAGCGAUUUCCUCUUUCUCAUAUUUCUGGGGAUUGAUUCUGUGGUUCCUCUGCUGGUUUCUCCUGGACCUGCUCAUGGGGCUGUUAUCAGCUGGAGGGUCCUCUGGGUGGGGAGGUCUAAGAUGGCCUCACCCCAGGUCUGGUAGUUGGUACCGGCCAUCAGCUGGGACACCUCGACUCUCUUUCUGCAUCGGGAUGAGAGAUACGGCAACUCAUCCUUCACUUGGCUUGACCGGCUUCCUUCCGCGGGAGUCUUGGUGUUCCCAGGGGGCAAAGGCAGAAGCUGGUCUCCCUCUUGAGGAUCCUGUCCUGAAACCCACCCAUGGCAGCCCUUCUGCCACAUUCUACCGGUCGAUGCAAGUCCCAGAGCCAGUCUAGAUGCAAGGAGUGGAGACACAGAUUCCACCUCUGAGUGGGAGGACCAGCAGUCACAUUACCAAGGAGCCUAUGCCCCAGGACGGGGGGAAGACAGGGAAAGUGUGAAAAUGUGAGUCGCUCCGUUGUGUCUGACCCUUUAUGUCCCCAUGGACGGUAACCCACCAGGCUCUUUGGUUCAUGGGAUUCUCCAGGCAAGAACUUCAGAUUGGGUUGCCAUUCCCUUCUCCAGAGGAUCUUCCCAACCCAGGGAUUGAACCCAGGUCUCCUGCACUGCAAGCAGUUUCUAUAUGGGGUGACCUGAUCAUUUGUAGCUAUUUUGUAACAAUUGAUUGAGCUUCCCAGAUGGCUAAGCAAGUAAAGAAUCUGCCUGCAGUGCAGGGGACACAGGAGAUGCAGGUUCAAUUCCUGGGUUGGGAAGAUCCCCUGAAGGAUGAAAUGGCAGCCCACUCCAGCAUUCUUGCCUGGAGAAUCCUAUGGACAGAGGAGCCUGGCGGCUACAGUCCAUGGGGUCUCAAGAGUCCGACAUGACUUAGCGACUAAACGACCGCUGCCAAGAAGUUAAAUGGAUGCUGCAGAAACACACAGCCGGCUGCUUUCAGUACUAUGUUUCCAUGGGUAUUUCUAGAACCACAUAGAGUAAAUUCAGAAAUCCUAUUUAAUUGGAAGUGGGUAGAGAGAAGGGUGCAUUAUCGUGUGGUUGGGGGAAAAUACUAAAUCCAAACUGAUUCAAUAAAAUUGUGGAGCUGAAACUACUCCCAGAGAAAAAUCCAGAAGAACCCCAACUGGAUUUGGGUAAUUCUGGAGAUUUCUGCCCUAGCCCUAGAGUCUUAAUGUAAAGAUAUAAAUUUUGCUGUUCUAAUUUGUUGGGAAGAUGCACAAGUUAUAUCCAGGAAGUCAGCAUCCUAAGGAUCGGCCAGGUGCCUCCCUGUUAGCCAGAAGACAGAGCAAUUCGACGCCCUUAGACAAAGAGAAAUGACAACCUUAGGAAGAAGAACUGGAAAGGUAAGAUGCAGGAACAAAGAGCACAUCUCAGAGACAAAGCAGAGCGGCUCCGAUGUGCUCAGCAGGUCUUAAAACCCAGAUGAAGAUGCUGCCAGAAGUCAGAGAGAAGCUGCCAGGGCAGCAGAACACUCCCCGUGUUGCCUGGAGAUACUCAACAUAGGUGCAAAUGAAUGGUUCCCAAGUCCUCACGAAGAGAGAGAAGGAAUCCAACACAUUCAGUUUAGCAAAGGUUUAGGUUCUAACACUGUUGAUUGCCAUGAUGAAAAGAGUCCUGCUGAUCCCAGGGGACAGAUAAGCAAAUGUGUGAGCGGCUGUAACAGACUGUGGAUGGAGCAGAGAGAGUCACAGAAGACGGAACAAUUCAUUCUGCCAGCCUGGCCUUUAAUGAGAGCUGCAGAGAGGGGCUGGCCGCUGAGCUGGGGCCUCAAAGAGUGAGCAGGGCUCUGCUGGGAGAGCCCCGAGGAGGGAAAUACGGUAGGAGCUGUGGGUACAGAGGCCCAGAGGCUCGGAAGUCCUGUGGACAUCUUUGCUUUUCUCUGCUCAGAGUCCCCCUCUCCUCUCCUUUUUCUUUCUCUCAUUCAACACGCGCCCGGUGGAACUGUCAAUCACAAUGAGGCUCCACCCCCAAAGGCAAGCGCAUGACACAAGCCAGCCAAUCAGACCCUCUCCUGAGACGCUGUAUCUUCCGCGGAAGAGUGCACUGGCUUACAGCUGAUGGAGCGGAGCCAUGCCGUCCUUAGUGUCCUAUAGAGACCAUUCAUGAGGUCUUGCUACCUUACCAGGCGUCUUGUGUGUGUGUGUUUACAUGACUGGGUGUGUGUAUUUAUAAUACUUUGGCCACCUGAUGCGAAGAACCGACUCAUAGGAAAAGACUCUGAUGCUGGGAAAGAUUGACGGCAGGAUGAGAAGGGGACGACAUGGUUGGAAGGCAUCACUAACUCAACAGACAUGAGUCUGAGUAGACUCCGGGAGUUGGUGAUGGACAGGGAGGCCUGGCGUGCUGCGGUUCAUGGGGUCACAAAGAGUCGGACACGACUGAGCGACUGAAUUGAGCAGGGUGUAGUGGGGGAGGGUUUGUGUUAACAUCUCUCCACUUUGCAAUAAACACUUUUUGCUUUGAAAAGCCGUCUCCCCUCCAUUCCAAAUGACCCUGUACAAUUGUUUGUCAUGGUGUUCUGCAUUUUAUACCACUAGAGUGGACUUAUGACCCAAGAUGUCCAAACACAGGGAUAUUUCCAGGAAUAGGCAUCCAAACUGGACCAAUCAGAAUCUUUCCUUAGAUUUGAUUUAUGGGUUUCCCCUUUCUCUGGGACCUUGAGCUAUAAAGACCAGGCAGUGAC
ensembl:lncRNA